rnacentral:rRNA from 1 species
UGGAGGCAGCAGUGGGGAAUUUUGCGCAAUGGGGGAAACCCUGACGCAGCAACGCCGCGUGAGUGAUGAAGGCUUUCGGGUCGUAAAGCUCUGUCAGUAGGGAAGAAAUGAGGUUGGCUAAUACCCAGCCUUCUUGACGGUACCUACAAAGGAAGCACCGGCUAACUCCGUGCCAGCAGCCGCGGUAAUACGGAGGGUGCAAGCGUUGUUCGGAUUUAUUGGGCGUAAAGCGCGUGUAGGCGGUCUCUUAAGUCUGAUGUGAAAGCCCUGGGCUCAACCCAGGAAGUGCAUUGGAUACUGGGAGACUUGAAUACGGGAGAGGGUAGUGGAAUUCCUAGUGUAGGAGUGAAAUCCGUAGAUAUUAGGAGGAACACCGGUGGCGAAGGCGGCUACCUGGACCGAUAUUGACGCUGAGACGCGAAAGCGUGGGGAGCAAACAGGAUUAGAUACCCUUGUAU